UGGGGAAUAUUGGACAAUGGGCGCAAGCCUGAUCCAGCCAUGCCGCGUGAGUGACGAAGGCCUUAGGGUUGUAAAGCUCUUUCGGCGGGGAAGAUAAUGACGGUACCCGCAGAAGAAGCCCCGGCUAACUCCGUGCCAGCAGCCGCGGUAAUACGUAGGGACCAAGCGUUGUUCGGAUUUACUGGGCGUAAAGGGCGCGUAGGCGGCAUGACAAGUCACUUGUGAAAUCUCUGGGCUUAACCCAGAACGGCCAAGUGAUACUGUCGCGCUAGAGUGCAGAAGGGGCAAUCGGAAUUCUUGGUGUAGCGGUGAAAUGCGUAGAUAUCAAGAGGAACACCUGAGGUGAAGACGGGUUGCUGGGCUGACACUGACGCUGAGGCGCGAAAGCCAGGGGAGCAAACGGGAUUAGAUACCCCCGUAGUCCCUGAGCGGGCUGGCAAGGCGCAU
rnacentral:rRNA from 1 species